CGUAUUUUUAGGUCACAAUAGAUGUGGAACUGUCAAAACUAUUGCAAAAUGUUCAAUAAAUUUAUUAGUUUAAAUAUCAAGUGGUUGAAUAUCAGGAUGGAUCCGACUUUGUUUUUUUUUUAUUUAAGCUCUAGUGAGAGUGAUGGGGAUGAAAAAUAGUGCGGAGGCAACUAAGAGAUCGGAACAAUCCCUUGGCACUGCCGAAUACAGCAUUUUUAAAACGAUUUCGUCUAACUAAAGAGGUUUUUGAAUAUGUCUUAAAUAAUAUAUGUUUAACGCAAUCUGGCGUCAGAGCAGUGCCUCCAGUGCUGUAAUUAGCAACCGCGCUCUCGCAUUUGGCUAGCGGUGGAUACCAGCACAGUGUAGGCAGUGACUAUAUGAUUGGGAUUUGUCAAAGCACUGUUCCCAAGCUGACAUCCCAUGUGCUUAAAGAAAUGGAAACAAAGUUGUGCCCACAGUUUAUACGGUUUACACCAGAGGACUCCCUUACGUGUAAAGAGUGGUUUGUGCACCAAUAUAAAAUUCUUGGAGUCGUUCGUGAGUUAUAGCGUCGCAUACAUGGAGCAAAAU